UACGAAGGGGGCGAGCGUUGUUCGGAUUUACUGGGCGUAGAGGGCGCGCAGGCGGCCGCUCAAGUCAGGCGUGAAAGCCCCGGGCUUAACCUGGGAACUGCGUCUGGGACUGAGUGGCUAGAGUUCGGGAGAGGAGAGUGGAAUUCCCAGUGUAGAGGUGAAAUUCGUAGAUAUUGGGAAGAACACCGGUGGCGAAGGCGGCUCUCUGGACCGAGACUGACGCUGAGGCGCGAAAGCGUGGGGAGCAAACAGG
rnacentral:rRNA from 1 species